rnacentral:lncRNA from 1 species
UUUGUCCUAUCUGUUGCAGCCCCCCUCUCUUUUAUUUCAGGCUACAGCUGUAGCUGAAAAUAUUCUUUCCAAAUUUCCAUAUUCCAGAAAUGUGUCAAAGUACUUGUUUGUGGAUUGUCCUCCUCCUGUUCUUUUAAUUGUUGUUUUUAUAAUUUUAGAUGCUUUACUAUAGUCUUAUCGGGGUCUACAGAGGAAGAGAAGCUGAAUAAAUAAAUGGGCUUAAACUUCUAUUUUGUACUGAAAUCUCCUAUGCAUUGUUUGAUUGAAGUUGGUGGUGGAAAGCAUAAGACCAAUUAGUAGACAAUCAUUUGUGAUUCUGUUUAUUUCAGUUAGCGAUUAUUUCAAUUAUUAUUUCAAUUAGGUUAAAUCACUGUCUCUUGGAUUUUAUCUGGAAAGGAGAGAAAGGCAUGUUAAUAGGUAUAAAUACCAUCCUUAAGUGAUGUGGCGCUAUUAAAAAUCAUGGCUAGCACCUAGUUUUUCAGUCCUGCUCUUUCUUUUAUUUCCAAGCAAAUCAGAAUUUUUUAGACACGUUUAAGAAUAUAAAAAUUUCUUCUGAUUUGGAUUCUUCUGCAUUUAAGACCUUGUUUUCUCCCCCAUAGAAAGGACUUAGAAUUUUGUACAAAAGCGUCUAUUCUGGUGUCUAGGUUGCAGAUCAGGGAAGGAGAACCACUAUGAAUGAUAGAGACUAGAUUUAUUACAGGAAUUAGAUUGUACAAAUCUGUGGGAGAAUCUAGAGACACAAAGGUCCCAAAUGUGAUGGUGGAAGGAUCAGAAAAAGUUGCUAAUCAUCCUGAAGAGGAACUGGGAAGUAAUUUCUGGAAGGCCUCUCUGCACAUGGUGAUGGGUCUGAAGUAGGACAUGUAGUUGGGAGAGAAAUUUGACCUGAAAUAGGGGAAGGAAAGCUGAACUGGGACCCAUGGGGACAAAAUGGAAUCUGAGGAGACAAACUGGAACUCAUGUUAUAGAAGGGAACCCUGUUUGAUCUUGUAGCAUCUAAUUGGCAACAUGAGCCACCUAAAGAGGAAGCUGGUGCCUUUCACAAGUUGUAGCACAUGUGCCUGUUCUAGGACCCAGAAAAUCUAAAGGAGGGGAGCUGGUGGGAGCUGGAGUUGGUGUGGACCUGCUGCUGCUCCUUGUCAGGGAGGCGAGCAAGAAGGUCAGGACAGGGUGCAUGGGCUGGAGCGGUGCCUGAGGCACAACCUUAGUUCAGGUUCUAAGCAGUUAUUACUUAGAUAUGUUGAAUUUGCUGUUUCUGUUUGAUGUCUGUUCAUGUGUACAGGUUGGCAGGAAUCUGAAGGUAGUGGUCAGAGACUAAUAUUAGAAUCCUAGGGUUUUGAAAUCAAAGAGUUCCAUGGUUGAUAAGAUUCAGAAAAUGCAAGGUUAAGAUCCUUAGAUUUUAGGAGAUUGAAGAACUAUGAACCUAGGACUUUAGGCAAUGAGAUAAAUCAUCCAAGAGGACACUGAAGUUUUGCAAUAUGAUGAUGGAUAUUUUGAAAGACUAGUGCCAAAAUCAUUUAAGUAUGGACCAAAACUAAAGUGACAGGGUUUGGACUAUCCCUGGUUUUACACACCUACUGCUACGAGUCUUGAAAUGUAUCCCCUGAGGAUAAGAGGGGACUCCUCUAUGAAAGUUCUUUAAGAGAAUUAUAGUGCUGUACAUAUAAGGUAUAAAAUCAUCAUUGUCAUGACUUUAGUGACUGCAUAUGCACAUUUUUAUUAAAAAUGCUGCUUCGGAAGUUCCUGUCCUGGUGCAGCAGAAAGGAAUCCAACUAGGAACCAUGAGGUUGAGGGUUCGAACCCUGCCCUUUCUCAGUGGGUUAAGGAUCCGGUGUUGCCGUGAGCUGUGGUAUAGAUUGCAGACCGGCUUGGAUCCUGCAUUGUUGUGGCUGUGGUGUAGGCCGUCAGCUACAGCUCCGAUUGGACCCUUAGCCUGGGAACCUCCAUAUACAUGGGUGCGGCCCUAAAAAUACAAAAAGACAAAUAAUAAUAAUAAAAUUUAAAAAAUAAAAAUGCCCCUUAAAUGAAGAUUUAAAUUAAUUUUUUUCUUUUUUUGGCCACACCUGUGGCAUAUGGAAGUUCCUAGGCAAGGGGUCAAAUGGGAGCUAUAGCUGCUGGCCUAUGCCACAGCCACAACGAUGCCAGAUCCAAGCCUCGUCUGCAAAUUAUACCACAGCUCAUGGCAAUGCUGUGAUCCUUAACCCACUGAGUGAGGCCAGGGAUCGAACCCGCAUCCUCAUGGAUACUAGCUGAGUUCGUUAACCACUGAGUCAUGACAGGAACUCCUAUUGGUGACUUUUUAAAGUGGGCAAUGCUGAUGCAUCUGCAUGGCUGCAUUUUAAUUAUUAUACAGUAAGAACAUAAAAGAUGCCUUUUAUUGCAGAUGUGAUCUAUCAACCAGCUGGAGGGGCUUCUGCUGGAAGAGGAAGCUCUCUUCUCUGCUUCCUUCCUCCCUCCUCACAGAGAAGAGAGAUGCAAUCUUCAGCCUUUUACUCUGGCCAGCCUGAAUCUCCUCCUGUCCAAAAUCAAAUACUUUUAAGUUUCACACUCAUCCAGAGUUCCUCAGCUUCAGGAAUUAGGUCAGUAUUUACAUACAGAGAGACUCAUUAUUUUAAGUGCGGAAGGUUUGGAGCCAUGUCAAGUCCCAUCUCCAUGAAGCGUUCUGACUAAUUCUUCCUAAUACUAGUUGAUUAAUAUUAUUUGAAAUGUCCUCAGGUCUUGUGCAUUCAAUUUGUCUCACACAUCAAAUAUCUGCUCAUAUAUUGCCUAGGAGCUAUUUUCUAGGUUUUCUUUUUUUCAGGUAUGUUUCUUUGCCCAUUCAGCUGGUCAUUUCCAUGAAGAAUUUGGAGUCUUUCCAACUAGAUGACUGAAUAUGGGUAAUUUAGUUACCUUUCCUAAAUUUUAGUCUUCUCAUCUCUCCAAUGGCAGUACCAUUACCUGCUUACAGAACUGUCAUAAGGAUUGUGUGUUCUCAGUAUGCUUGGCACAUGGUAGGCCUCUACACAUAUUGAUUUCCCUUCUUAUCAUCCUCAUUUCCUCUCUUCUUUCCUUUUCUUCCUUACGGAACCUGUAGCCAUGUCACCCUCAAUAGAUGCUGCUUUUUGCAUUCUCAUGGAGUGACUGUGUAUUACCACAGUCAGGAUAAAGUGAAGACUCAUUUCACAAGAUAACACUGAAAACAGUGUGUAACUUGGGAUGGGCGAUUCCAUAUGGUUCAGGUGACAUGAUAUUUUUUAUUGCAACCUUUUCAGGUAAUACAAUGAAUUAUUAAUCCAAAUUAGAAAGUGGUAGCUGAAGCCCUGGAUUGGUGCCCAGAGAACAGCUCUGCCAUGUUAUAGGCAUAUGGUCACCUGGCUGGGACAAUGACUUUUUGUGCAUGUGCCAAAUGAAACUUUACAAUGUCUGUUGACAUUCUGUCCUUCCUUUGUUUCUCUAUAUUGGAUGACUUUGCUGCUCUUUGUGUGUGUGUGUGUGUUUUAUCUAAGGUCCAAUAAGACAUUAGCUUGAAAAAUGAAUAAGAUGAAGGAGCAGGUAUAUCUUGUUAGAUGGAUUCAUUAAGUGUUAAAGCUGAAGCCCUUCAUGGGCUAUCAUGAAUAGGGGUUCACAACCUUUUAUUUUGUCCCUAUUCAGGUUUACAGAAUAUGAAAUGCCCAGCAAGGUAGAUUCUGUGCAUGUAUGAAGAUUCUAUCUGUCCUUAUCUACCGCUCAGCUGCUCCAAGGCUGCCUUCUCAUAUCUGGUACCGAGAUCCUCUGUAGAUUGGUAAUGAUAAAUAAUUUGUAUCUGUAGGACUGUCUGACUUUAAGACGUGGCUAGUGAUUUCAUUUAUGGAUGAAAGAUUACAAAGCUGUAUUCAUCUCAAAUGUGCCCAGAUACUAAUAUUUUGUUGGUUAAAAUCGUUUUCUUAAAAAUGCUCUUCUACUUAAUAAAAUAGGUCGUAUGACCUAAAUCAUAAGAAUAUGCAUUUUGACCAUUGAUGUUCAUUCAGUUAUUUUCAGUCUCAAUGGAAAAAAUAAAAGGGGCCUCUAAACAUUUUUAAAAGGUUUCUCAAGUUGAACCUCAUGCCAGUUGUUUACCAAGGGGUUCAAGGAUCCCAGGCUGGGGGAUAAUCUUUGUUGGCCAUACUGAAACCGUAUGGGAAAUUUUAUUUAGGUCUCUAGCUGAGCAUAUUGGCCUGGUUAAUGGGUCCGACUUGUGAGUGGCCACUAUGGACUCAUUGAGGGAUCAGGUUAAGGACUGGAAUGCCUCAGUGAGGAAGGAAUAAGUAGGACCAUAGCAGGGGAAAGCUUAGGUGAAGGCCUGCAGGGAGAAAGGAAAAAUCGACUGGAUGGAUUUUGCUCAGGCACAGUUAUGCUAAAGGCCUUGUCCCUCUGUCAGAGGAGUUCCAGCUGCUGGGAAUUGGCAUAUGGGGCUGUACUAGCAGAAUGGGAGGGGAAACUUCUCUGAGAGACAGGAAUUAUGGCUGGAUCUGGGCUCUUCAUUAACCAGCUGUGCAAUUUCAAAUAAGCCACUCCUUUGGACAAGGCCUCCAUUUCCUCAGUUAUAAAAUAAUGGAGUCAGAUCUCUUAGGCCAUCUGUUCUACUGGUAAAAUUCUGUGAUUCUAAGAUUAGCUAAUUCUUAUACCAUAUUCUCCAUGUAAUUAGAACAUUUCACAAAUCCCUAGGUAGAGCUGGAAAUACCCACUGUUGUUUUUCUGAAGAUUAAUCAAAUUUAUUUUCAACAGCUGAUUUUUGUAUUUCCAAAGUUGACUAGUAAUUUUGCAUCACUUUUAUCUACCUCUUCACUGAUGAGAAGUGAUAAGAGGACAUUAAACAUGAUUUAUAAUAUUUUCAGACACAUACUACACAGCUUUAAAACCACUACACACACACAAAAAAAAAAAA